UCCUUCGUGGUGUAGUGAUCAACACGCUCGAUUAUUAUUCGAGAGGCUCGUGGUUCGAGUCUCGGCGAGGGCA
rnacentral:tRNA from 1 species